UAAUAAGAAGCUAUAGAGCAAUCAGUUUCGACCUGAACAUUAGGUAAAUAUACCCUUAUUAU
rnacentral:tRNA from 1 species